UACAGAGGGGGCAAGCGUUGUUCGGAAUUAUUGGGCGAAAGCGCACGUAGGCGGUCCGCUAAGUCGGGUGUGAAAUCCCUCGGCUUAACCGAGGAAGUGCAUUCGAAACUGGCGGGCUUGAGUACUGAAGAGGGUCGCGGAAUUCCCGGUGUAGAGGUGAAAUUCGUAGAUAUCGGGAGGAACACCAGUGGCGAAAGCGACUUCCUGGACCAAUACUGACGCUCAUGUGCGAAAGCGUGGGGAGCAAACAGG
rnacentral:rRNA from 1 species